CAGUAGCCGCGGGAACACGAAGGGUGCAAGCGUUACUCGGAAUUACUGGGCGUAAAGCGUGUGUAGGUGGUUGUUUAAGUCUGUCGUGAAAGCCCUGGGCUCAACCUGGGAAUUGCGAUGGAUACUGGGCGACUAGAGUGCGGUAGAGGAUAGUGGAAUUUCCGGUGUAGCAGUGAAAUGCGUAGAGAUCGGAAGGAACAUCUGUGGCGAAGGCGACUAUCUGGGCCAACACUGACACUGAGACACGAAGGCGUGGGGAGCAAACAGGAUUAGAUACCCCAGUAGUCCCUGUCUCUUAUAC
rnacentral:rRNA from 1 species